rnacentral:rRNA from 1 species
AUUGAACGCUGGCGGCAGGCCUAACACAUGCAAGUCGAACGAGUGGCGGACGGGUGAGUAAUGUCUGGGAAACUGCCUGAUGGAGGGGGAUAACUACUGGAAACGGUAGCUAAUACCGCAUACCAUUCGCUGUUCCCAGAUGGGAUGGGUUAGUAGGUGGGGUAAAGGCUCACCUAGGCGACGAUCCCUAGCGGGUCUGAGAGGAUGACCAGCCAAACUGGAACUUGGACACGGUCAAGACUCCUACGGGAGGCAGCAGUGGGGAAUAUUGCACAAUGGGCGAAAGCCUGAUGCAGCCAUGCCGGGGGGAUGAAGAAGGCCUUCGGGUUGUAAAGUACUUUGAGCAGGGAGGCGUUACCCGCAGAGGAAGCACCGGCUAACUCCGUGCCAGCAGCCGCGGUAAUAC